GGGGCCGUAGUUCAGCUGGUUUAGAACGUCGGACUGUCGAUCCGAAGGUCGCGGGUUCGAACCCCGUCGGCCCCGCCA
rnacentral:tRNA from 2 species